UAAAUCCCCCUUCUUCUCCCUCUCACGCCGCAACCCCCCUCAUGAUAACUCUCUCUCCCUCCUCUACAUUUCGUCUCCUUCCCAUAACCCAGCCAUUACCUUCGAUUUCAGCCACCACUUACAAUUCCUCCGGCCAUCAUUCAGUGUCCACCGUCGCUGUGCCGCAUCUCCAACGAAUGACCAACUGCAAGUACCGUCGGUUUGGCUUCCGUUGCACCCAUCGCUAUCGCGUCUCUCCAUCUCUAUCUGAUCUUUCUCGUUCAGACUCUCGUGUGGUUAUGUCUUACCUCCGCCCAAUCUCAGACCUGCCAUCAGCAUCAUUACUUUCCAAAAUCGGCGUUUUGGGUAAGUUUUUUGGUGUCUUGUAUGGGUUUUCGGAUCCGCACCAUAUGACACCGGAUCCAAUCAGAUGCCACCAGUCAGCCACCGUACAAUGCCCACCGGUCAGUUCUCCACCGGAUCCGCGCCAAUCGCCCAGCCUAGCCUCCACCCAAAUCUGGUUAGUCCUUGCACCAGGUUUGGUCAGUCCUUCACCAUAUCCAGUUAGUCUUCCACCGGAUUCGUCGUACAGCCGCAUUGCCCCUGUCAAGUAAGAGCUUUUUAUAGUUUUAUGAGUGUUCUUGUUUGUUUUUUCUUUUAGGCAAGAUGGUCAAGGCUCGGUGAAGCGUCGAUUUGAGCAAACACUAUGAGUAAUGUUUUGGAUGUAUUGGAAUGAAUUUGUGAUUUGGUUAUAAUGUAGCAUCUUAUGUAAUGAUUUCAUUGUUUGAAUUGUUGAUGAUGAGAUUGAUUUUGUUGUCCAAUAGAUUUGAGACCGAUCUUGACAAGGUUUUAGUAAGUUUAGAGGUUAGUAUUAAUAGUUCUUUGUUAUCCAUUGAAGUAUUGGUCAAAUAAUUGAGUUAUUUUCAAUUUAAAGAUUUCAAGGGAUUCGAGCCAUUAUCCAGCAAAGUUAACGAUGUUUUUGACGUUUUGAUAGGUAUCAAGGCCUUGAAACUCUUUUGGAAUGUGUUACCUAGUUGCUGGAAUUUGUGUUUUGUAACCACUAUUAUUGAACUUUUUGUCGGUUGGAUUACUUUGUUGUAGUUUUGAAGUGGCAUUCAAAUCAACCACACUUUGGGUAAUCUAUUUGGAGUUAAACGGUUAUUUUGGGUGAAUGAAAAUUUGAAUAAUGGGUUUCAUAUUUCUGUAGUUUUUGAAUGAAAUUUUGUAGAUAAGAUUGGAUUGCUUUGUUGUAUUUUUUAAUGAAAUUUGUAAAUGAGAUCGGGCUUCCAAAUUCUCUAUUUUAUUUGCUUGUAGAUAAGAUAAGUUGUGAAAGUUGUAAAAGUUGGGCGACAGCGAAAGGUAAUUGUUCCUCCUGAUACUGGAUAUGGUCAGAAUAGAAUGAAUGAAAUUCCAUUGACUUGGUUAAACAUGGCUUGCCUGGCCCUUAGUUCUCGAUCUUUGGACUUCAAAACUCAAUGUAUAGAUAAAUAAUGUACUUUGUUGAGAGGUUACUUAUUAAACAAUUUGUUACUUGUGUAUUGUUUGAAAGUUGAGUUUUGUAUACAAAAGCACUAGUUGAGAUUUUA